rfam:Pteropus alecto contig101032, whole genome shotgun sequence.
AAACUCCACGACUGCUCUUUGCUCAAAGUAAUUUUUGGCAAUUAUUCUAAUGCUUUUUCGGUGGAGUCCUAGUGGUAAUAUGCUCUUGGACAGGUUAUCCUAUGCCUCUCGCUAGAUUGAUGAGAUCAGGCAUC